CCUACGGGGGGCUGCAGUAGGGAAUAUUGCUCAAUGGGGGAAACCCUGAAGCAGCAACGCCGCGUGGAGGAUGAAGGUUUUAGGAUUGUAAACUUCUUUUGUCAGGGACGAAGAAAGUGACGGUACCUGACGAAUAAGCCACGGCUAACUACGUGCCAGCAGCCGCGGUAAUACGUAGGUGGCAAGCGUUAUCCGGAUUUACUGGGUGUAAAGGGCGUGUAGGCGGGACUGCAAGUCAGAUGUGAAAUUCCAGGGCUCAACCCUGGAACUGCAUUUGAAACUGUAGUUCUUGAGUGAUGGAGAGGCAGGCGGAAUUCCGUGUGUAGCGGUGAAAUGCGUAGAUAUACGGAGGAACACCAGUGGCGAAGGCGGCCUGCUGGACAUUAACUGACGCUGAGGCGCGAAAGCGUGGGGAGCAAACAGGAUUAGAUACCCCGGUAGUC
rnacentral:rRNA from 1 species